UACCUGGUUGAUCCUGCCAGUAGUCAUAUUCUUGUCUCAAAGAUUAAGCCAUGCAUGUGCAAGUAUGAACCAAUUUGAACUGUGAAACUGCGAAUGGCUCAUUAAAUCAGUUAUAGUUUGUUUGAUGGUACGUGCUACUCGGAUAACCGUAGUAAUUCUAGAGCUAAUAC
rnacentral:ncRNA from 1 species